GGGCGGUGCUUAAUGAAGCCUGCAGAGCGCCUUGCCCUCCUGGCUCUGCUCCCACAGCUUCAGUGCCAGCCCCGUCCCCACCCUGUCAACAAGGCCGAGUCUCUGUGGGAAAUCCAGAUGCCCAGGAGGAUCGAUGCCAUUGGCUCACCCAGGGACACUAGAUGUUUCCCAGCCUCUUGAGGGAUGGGGGUCAGAAGGCAGCGCUGAGGCCGGGAAGCCUCACGGCCAGUGAGUCCAGGCGGGAACCAAAGGCAGAGCCAGGACAGCCGCCCUCAGACUCGCAGCCCUCCCGGAGCUCCGCCGCAGAGUUAGAGAUGAGUCACCGCCUGACUCACGGGGAAAGCCCUCUCGAGAGCUGGCUGAGAACCCAGCAGGUGACAUAAACCCACUUUCUCGGUUCUUUCCUUGCCUCUCCCCCCAAGGACUAAAAAUAAAAUGUGAA